rnacentral:rRNA from 1 species
CCUACGGGGGGCAGCAGUGGGGAAUAUUGGACAAUGGGCGAAAGCCUGAUCCAGCCAUGCCGCGUGUGUGAAGAAGGCCUUCGGGUUGUAAAGCACUUUCAGUGGGGAAGAAAGCCUUGGGGCUAAUACCCUCGAGGAAGGACAUCACCCACAGAAGAAGCACCGGCUAACUCCGUGCCAGCAGCCGCGGUAAUACGGAGGGUGCGAGCGUUAAUCGGAAUUACUGGGCGUAAAGCGCGCGUAGGCGGUCUGAUAAGCCGGUUGUGAAAGCCCCGGGCUCAACCUGGGAACGGCAUCCGGAACUGUCAGGCUAGAGUGCAGGAGAGGAAGGUAGAAUUCCCGGUGUAGCGGUGAAAUGCGUAGAGAUUGGGAGGAAUACCAGUGGCGAAGGCGGCCUUCUGGACUGACACUGACGCUGAGGUGCGAAAGCGUGGGUAGCAAACAGGAUUAGAUACCCUAGUAGUC